GGGCCCUUAGCUCAAUGGUAGAGCAGGCAUCUCAUAAAUGUCAGGUCGCUGGUUCGAUUCCAGCAGGGCCCACAA
rnacentral:tRNA from 1 species